GCUUACUUUAUGAGGGGGGACCACAUGGUGUAAAGAGGCUGCAUUGGGGUUACAUGAUAGCCUACAUGAUUUUUUUAGUUUUGAUUUUUAUGCUUUUCACUUAAAUUUAAUUGCUCAAAUUUAAAUAACACAUUUUACUAAUAAUUAAAAUUCCAUUAAAAUAAAAAAACCUAAAAAUUACAUUAAAAAAUUAAAAACAUAAUUAAAAUUACAUAAAUUAAAAUCCUAGUCUAAGAAGAAGAAGAAAAAAAAAAGAAGAAAAAGAAG
rnacentral:lncRNA from 1 species